UACGUAGGGUGCGAGCGUUAAUCGGAAUACUGGGCGUAAAGCGUGCGCAGGCGGUUUUGUAGCCAGAUGUGAAAUCCCCGGGCUUAACCUGGGAAUGGCAUUUGGGACUGCAAGGCUUGAGUGCGGCAGAGGAGACUGGAAUUCCUGGUGUAGCAGUGAAAUGCGUAGAUAUCAGGAGGAACACCGAUGGCGAAGGCAGGUCUCUGGGCAUUAACUGACGCUGAGGAGCGAAAGCAUGGGGAGCGAACAGG
rnacentral:rRNA from 1 species